GUCGCACGGAAGCUUCGGCUUCAGUGGCGGACGGGUGAGUAACGCGUAGGUAUCUGUCCACGGGUGGGGGAUAACUCCGGGAAACUGGAGCUAAUACCGCAUAAUACCUGAGGGUCAAAGGCGCAAGUCGCCUGUGGAGGAGCCUGCGUUCGAUUAGCUAGUUGGUAAGGUAACGGCUUACCAAGACGAUGAUGCAUAGCCGAGUUGAGAGACUGAUCGGCCACAUUGGGACUGAGACACGGCCCAAACUCCUACGGGAGGCUGCAGUAGGGAAUCUUCCACAAUGGGCGCAAGCCUGAUGGAGCAACGCCGCGUGAGUGAAGAAGGGUUUCGGCUCGUAAAACUCUGUUGUUGAAGAAGAACGUGCAUGAGAGUAACUGUUCAUGCAGUGACGGUAUUCAACCAGAAAGUCACGGCUAACUAC
rnacentral:rRNA from 1 species